GACGAACGCUGGCGGCGUGCUUAACACAUGCAAGUCGAACGAAGAGCGAUGGAAGCUUGCUUCUCUCAAUCUUAGUGGCGAACGGGUGAGUAACGCGUAAUCAACCUGCCCUUCAGAGGGGGACAACAGUUGGAAACGACUGCUAAUGCCGCAUACGAUCUGACCUCGGCAUCGAGGAUAGAUGAAAGGUGGCCUCUAUUUAUAAGCUAUCACUGAAGGAGGGGAUUGCGUCUGAUUAGCUAGUUGGAGGGGUAACGGCCCACCAAGGCGAUGAUCAGUAGCCGGUCUGAGAGGAUGAACGGCCACAUUGGGACUGAGACACGGCCCAGACUCCUACGGGAGGCAGCAGUGGGGAAUCUUCCGCAAUGGACGAAAGUCUGACGGAGCAACGCCGCGUGAGUGAUGACGGCCUUCGGGUUGUAAAGCUCUGUUAAUCGGGACGAAAGGCCUUCUUGCGAAUAGUUAGAAGGAUUGACGGUACCGGAAUAGAAAGCCACGGCUAACUACGUG
rnacentral:rRNA from 1 species